ACUCUUUUCCCACAUGCAUCUUGAAGAUGCAUGUGGGAAAAGAGU
rnacentral:miRNA from 1 species